AUGCAAGUCGUACGAGGGUUUUUAACUUUAGUGGCGGACGGGUGAGUAACACGUGAGAAUUUGCCUUUAGGAGGGGGAUAACAAUCGGAAACGAAUGCUAAUACCCCAUAUGCUUUUGAGUGAAAUGGAUUUAUCCGCCUAAAGAGAAGCUCGCGGCUGAUUAGCUUGUUGGUAAGGUAAGAGCUUACCAAGGCGACGAUCAGUAUCUGGUUUGAGAGGACGAUCAGACACACUGGAACUGAGACACGGUCCAGACUCCUACGGGAGGCAGCAGUGGGGAAUUUUCCGCAAUGGGCGAAAGCCUGACGGAGCAAUACCGCGUGAGGGAAGACUGCCUAUGGGUUGUAAACCUCUUUUUUCAGGGAGGAAUAAAUUGACGUGUACCUGAAGAAUAAGCAUCGGCUAACUCCGUGCCAGCAGCCGCGGUAAGACGGAGGAUGCAAGUGUUAUCCGGAAUCACUGGGCGUAAAGCGUCUGUAGGUGGUUUAAUAAGUCAACUGUUAAAUCUUGAGGCUCAACUUCAAAAUCGCAGUCGAAACUAUUAGACUAGAGUAUAGUAGAGGUAAAGGGAAUUUCCAGUGGAGCGGUGAAAUGCGUAGAUAUUGGAAAGAACACCAAUGGCGAAAGCACUUUACUGGGCUAUUACUAACACUCAGAGACGAAAGCUAGGGUAGCAAAUGGGAUUAGAUACUCCAGUAGUCCUAGCCGUAAACUAUGGAUACUAGAUGUUG
rnacentral:rRNA from 1 species